GUGCGAACACCGUCGAUACUAGUUUCUUCUUGGGAAGAUAAGUUAGAACCGUAGAAACCUACAGUUAGUUGUGAGAAUCAGGAGUUUUAGUAGACGAUUGUAGGUUGGUUUAAGAUAAGUAGGGGAGAAGAUUAUACCCUUCUUGGAUGUCUUGAGAGUGAGGAAUCAAGCCAAGUGGAGACUUCGCCGAAGGAAAGUGUUCAGGUGUAAAGUGGAGACGAUUGUAAAGUUUGUUUCGGAGAUGGAUGAAUUGGGAGAGCAGAUGAAAGAUCUGUUAUAGAAGAAGUUUGUCAGAUCAAUUGUUUCAUCGUUGAGGACGUUAGCGUAAUUGUGUAAGAAGAUGGACGACAACAUAAGACCUAUAGUGAUUAUAAUAUCAGCAAUUGGAUGAGGAUACAAUUUGAUGGUUUUAUAGAUUAGUUAGCCGGUGUUAGUGUAUUGAAUGCUAGUGUGAUAAGUAAGAUGAAAUUUGGAAUCGAGUUGUCAUCAGAUGCAAGUAAUGUCGUUUGGUAUGACUUAUAUGAAGAGGAUGUUGUAUGUGAAGUCGUCGAAGAGUGAGUUUUGGUUACAGGAAGUGAGUUUUGUAAUCAUGUGUUAUAGAGUGGUGGAAUAGUUGUGCAUUCGUCGAAGGUGGAUGUCGUGUUGCAAUAGAAAGCCUAAAUCAGUUGCUAAGAUUAUAAUUUUUCUAGGAUUAACUGAUUGCUAUCGAAAGCUUAUUGGAAGUUUCUUCUAGAAUGAGUUUGAGUAGUGUGCUUUUACAUACGGACAAGUGGUGGUCUAUGCGUCAACGAAGUGGAAGAUUCAUGGAAAAAGUAUCUGAUUCAUAAUUUGGAAUUGUUGUUGAUUCGGGAGCAAUAUUUUAUAUGAGACGAGAUUUGAAGUGUUCAAGUGAUCUCAAGAGUUUGAAGUAUCUGUUGAUUAAGUAGAGUUGAAUAUGAGUCAGAGAGAAGUGAUUAGAAUUUUGAAGUUGAUUAAGCAGUUCAGUAAUGUAAGAUUGAUAUAUGAGAUGACGUUUAUAAGUGUGAAGUUGAGGAUAAUAAAGUUAACUAAUUAUAUUCUUGAAGAACUAAGAAUUGGUCGGAAAAUAGAGUUGAAUUUAAUUAACAGAUUGGUGCAACUUAGUCAAAGUAAAGAAGUGGAAUAUUCGAGUAGCUGAGGAUGAAAUUAUGAAACAAUGAGGAAAAGUUUAUAUGUUGGAUUUAACCGAGCUCGAGAGAAGAAUUAUAGGAGAAAGUUAUAGUCGGAAUCAGAAUGUUGGAAUCAUUAAGUGAAAAAGUAUGUUGGAAAAUUUCGAAUGAGAUUUUGGAAUAAAAUAUGAAGUUAAGUGCGAAGUGUCAUUAACAAAAGAUAUGGAAUAGGAAAGUUAGUCGUUGGAAGAACGUGCUAAGUAUAAGUAUCGGAGAACAUUUUUGUGAUUAUUCGGGAAUAAGAGCAAGAUAAGUAACUGUCUAUCAAAAAAAGAUUAAGUAUGGAAAAGUUGGUGAGGAUUAGGAAGAUUUAAUUCAUGGUACUUGGUGUAGUGAAGACAGACGUAAUAUAAGUGUAGUACUUGAUAAAGAAAGUAAAGGACUUUAGAUAUAAUAUUCAAUGGAGGUUUCGUGUUUAAGAAGCACUAUUAUAGUUUGGUAAAGAUGGUUGAUGCCACCAUCAUGAUUGUUGUCUAUCUAUUAACAAAUUGAGGAACUGACCGUCCUUAAUCUUUUGUUGAUAGUAGAUGAAAUCGUGUUGAAUGGAUGAGACUAAUUUUGUCAAACUUUGGUAGUGUCUAGAGUUUUGGAUGUUUUGAUUGGAAAACUAGAUGAAGUGGUCUUGUUCAGAUUGUUUUAGCCAAUUUUCG
rnacentral:lncRNA from 1 species